CAAGCUGUGGUUCAGUGUGGAGGAAAUCUGGGGGUAAGUAAGACGCGCUCAUUGGUGUAUUGCCUUUGUUGACAUACAGAUGUUAGAACCUUGCAAGGAAAAAAAAAAAAAAGUGCCCAAGCUAUUAACUUUGUUGUAUGAGUACCUGUUUGACUUUGAGUGUCUGAUUGACUAUGAGUACCAGCUCCCUUUCUUCUGAACGUUGGGUGUUCUGGUUCUUGCAACAUCAGACUGGGCUGGUGCAGCCUGGAAAAUCCAGUGGCUGGACGCCACCACAGAGCACUGAGUCAGGUCUGCAGGCAGCUGCCUCCUGGGCACGUGUGCCUAUCGCCUGUGUCACACUGCACUGGUGCUUGGAGGCGGUCUCAGAACCUUUGCCCCUGCCGCAGAAGCAACACCAAUGGGGCACGACUUAGCAGCCAGCUCUGGUGGCUGAGCCAGGCUGUCCCUGACUCAGUGGGGUCCUGGGAUGUCCUCCAGUACCUCCUGAAAGCCUCAGUAUCCCCGUCAGUGACUCUAGCCACCUCUGGGCAUUAACUGGUCUCAAUAAAAGUAUUUUGACUAAGCUCAGAUGAAAGGCGCUCAGGAUAUUUCAAAGCCAGUCAGGGUUUUUGGGGUGAGGAAGGGUGGCAGUUGUUGAGGUGACAGUGGAGGGGAGACGCUGGAGUCUCAGACAAGAAGUCUGGGUGUAGAGUCCACGGAGUGCCUCUCUCUGGUUCCUCACUCGUCCCCCCACACUGCUGCUUCUGGGGACCUAGGCGCCUGGGAGAGGACUGUGGGGAGGGGUGGCUCACUCCAGACCAGACGUCUCUCUCACAUUCUAGGCUGCUGCCAAGGUGGCCUGCCCCCCUUUCCCUCCCUCUCCCACCCUCUGAGAGAGAUCCUGGCAAAUCACACCACGGUUACCUGGGAGAAAUUCAUUUCCAACAUCACAGAAAUCUAGAGUCCCAGAAAAGACUAAGUGAUUCUUGAUUUGACUGGCUUUAAAUAGCUUAGACCUUCCCACUGUCCUCAGCCUCCAGGCUCCCAAGCUCCCAGUCCUGCAUUUCUUCCCACAUUCUCCACAUCCUCUUGGGAGCAGGGGAGCCAUCACCUCCCUGCGCUUGGAUGACUUUGAGACUGUGAUAGGAAUAGGGUCCCUGGAAAGAGGAGUCAAGGGGCUGAGUGGGAGUGGGGAGUUGGAGAAACUGCCCAGAGCUCAUGAGCUUUUUUGUACAGAUCCUGGGAAAGACUGCUUUGUCCCAGGAGCUAGUGGGAGUGAGCGCCAAAUCAUAGAAGGUCAAGGCUGGAAACGACAUCCAAGACUCUUUUACCCUGGAAACUUCUUUGUAAACUAAUCAAAUGGUUGGACCAUCUGAGCUUGCACACCCUAAGAGAUGGGCUGCUCAUUACCUCAUAAAGCAAGACCUAAACUGUCUUAGAUCAGCCCCAAUGCUCAGAAAGUUCUUAACAUGGAGUCACUGCAUGUCUUCCUGACCAUUCUCCAGGGUCCUAGUUCUGCUUCUUGGGACCGCAUAAAACAAGUUCACGUUUUCGUCAUGACGCCCCUCCAGAUAUCUCCUACCCCAGCUACUGUGCAGCCUGACACCCUGGGGGAAGCGUGUGCAGUUCAGGAACACAGUGUUCUUCUGAGCAUUUGACUGAGCGCUCCAGAAGACAGAAUUGUGUUAACCGUUGCUUCCCCAGGGCCUAGACCCUAGGCCCGGCUGGUUUGUUGACUGGAUGAAGGUUCUGCAAGAAAUGGUCUCAUUGAGGUGAGUUCCCUUUUAUCCUUAAGGACUCUUAAUUCUUCAGGUUUGUCAUCAGGGAUUCACAUAGUCUUUCAAAGUGAAUUCUUCUUUCCUCCACUGUUCCCUUGAUAACAAUUCAGUUUAUAGUGUUUAAGCAGCCUCACUUUGCUAAGACAUUCUGCUGAUAAAGUAGGUUAGACCACUCCUUUCAGCGAUGGGCACAAUUUCGGGGCUGUCUGCUCUUCUGACUGUAGGUCAGCUCCAGGAUGUCUCCUGCUGGCAGAAAUCUGGGUGUAUCCAGGCUCCCUCCUAGGGUCCCCGUUCUUCUGAAGUGGAUGAGCAGGAAUCACUGAGCCUUGGGAAGCCUGAGCUGAGACGUAAGGAGACCCUGGGUCUCACAUCUCAGAAACUCUUGCCCUCUAGCCUUGACCGGGGCCUCAGUCCCUAAACCCUAAUCUUGUUUCUGAAACUGAACCUCACUCAUGGAUCUUAUCCUUCUCUCUGUGUUC
ensembl:lncRNA